GCGCCGGACAACUACCUGUCAUGGCGUGCUCAAGUCUUGCCUCUACUCCGCAGCCGCUACUUGGAGGGCUAUGUCGACGGGUCCAUCCCGUGCCCACCCCCUCACCAUCCGGCAUAUCACACGUGGGUGGCGCAGGAUCAGGCCAUUCUCUCCGCCAUCCAGUCUUCGCUCACGCCGAGUAUUUCGUCGAUGGUCAUCUUCGCCGCUACGUCCAGGGAGGCAUGGGCGGCCCUCCACACUAGUUUCGCCUCUCAGUCUCAGGCGCGUGCACACUCUAUACGCACCGAGCUGGGUGAGACCAAGCUUGGAGAUCUCAGCAUCACGGAGUACUUCAACAAGAUGACGAGCCUCGCCGACACCUUGGCCUCUGUUGGUCAGCCGCUUCAGGACGAGGACUUCACCACCUUUGUGCUUAACGGGCUCGAUGAUGAUUAUGACAAUCUCAUUGAGAACGUCCAUGGUCGAGAGGAUACGCUCCCGCGUCUUGAGCUCUAUGCGCGCCUCCUUGGGCGUGAGCAGCGCAUCAAGGCGCGCCGUGUUUCCCCCAGCUUCGUCUCCGCCAAC
rnacentral:rRNA from 1 species